rnacentral:other from 1 species
ACCAACCUGGAAUGUUUGAUAACUCUUGUAAUUUUGAACCUACAUUUUGUUCUAAGGGAUUCCUAUAUUGGCACGUCUGAUGUCACGCUCACCCCUUAAGGCGAAGACUGAUGCGGGUCUGCGGUUACCCACCUAGCAUAGCUAGGAGUCAAAAUACGAGAGCCGGCAUUUCGGGUUAAAA